UACGUAGGUGGCAAGCGUUGUCCGGAUUUACUGGGCGUAAAGAGCGCGCAGGCGGUCGGAUAAGUCGAAUGUGAAAGCCCCCGGCUCAACUGGGGAGGGUCAUUCGAUACUGUUCGACUCGAAGGCAGGAGAGGGAAGUGGAAUUCCCGGUGUAGUGGUGAAAUGCGUAGAUAUCGGGAGGAACACCAGUGGCGAAGGCGGCAUCCUGGACCAAUUCUGACGCUGAGGAGCGAAAGCCAGGGGAGCAAACGGG
rnacentral:rRNA from 1 species